rnacentral:lncRNA from 1 species
CAGAAAAUGUGUGUUUUAUGCUGGUUGAUACGCUGUUUCUAAGAUGGUCAUUCAGGAGUUAUUUCUCUGCCCCCUUUCUCUUCUCCUUAUGUAUCUUCCAACAUAUCCCACAAAUAAAACUUAUUUGAACCCUCACUUAUUUCAUUGUGUACAAAUGUAAAAUAAUUCCACACACACACAUAGUCCACUCUAUUUCUAUACAUCUUCUUUUUCUUCUUCUGGGCUGCACCCCCGUGGGGAACAAAACAGACAUCUUUCACAAAGCUAGCAGGUCAGAAGUAUCCUACCCUUGCUCUCUAUGCUGUGGUGAAUCUGGAUCAUGUUCGCCAACAGUCCAAACAAAGCCUCACCAAAUCCCACAUCCUUUCUCUGUGUCCUACACAUCUUGCGCUGGAUACACGCUGAUGGUUUCUAUGCAAGCUUUGUGCAUUUGUGGGAUUUAUAUUCUUGCUUUUCCUCUUCUUCCUCUUGCCCCUGCCAUCCAGCAAAUGUGUACUCAUUCUUUGAGAUCCAGAGUAAAUGUCCCCUAAUAGCAGAGCUGGGAGUUAUCCUCUGGGCUCUCAUAUUAUUCCAUGAGUAUGAGUAUUAUGUUAAUUAUCAUGGGUGGUAAAAUUCACCUGCCUAUGAGUCAGCCUUCUAACCAUUAGACCGAGUAUCUUGAGGGAGGUCAUCGUUGUGCCAGCCUCUUCCCUUUGUCUCUUCCACCUCCUUCUUCACUCUGCUCCAUGUCCUGGGGGGACGGACCUCUAUGAACUGUACCCAUGGGCUCCCUUUUCUCUGGCUUCCAGGAGGGACCUGCCGAUGGGCAGCAUCAGAAGCAGUUUCAAGGGACAGGAGAGGAGUGACCUUGGGGUUUAUUUUCUUUGGCCAUUCUGCAUCAGCUAUGCCUCACCACAUCUCGGGGGGUGGAAGGUGGGGGUUGGGGGGUCUAUCAUCCUGGCUUCUCUCCAGGUUCCAAGAGUCACUCCUUCCUCUUGUUCACGGAGGCCAAGGGGUGGUAAUGGCUCCCCACUGUCAUGCUGCCCAGGGCACUGCACUAUCCUUUAUAAAGUUAUCUAAACCCCUGUCUAUACAUUUGUAAUCAGUCCCUUUGCAAAAACUCUCCUAAAAUGAUAGAAUUUAAUUGAACUCUUUCCCUCCUUGUACAAGCCUUACUCAUCUUAGAAUCCUAGCAUCUGACAAGUAGCUGGCUCAAAGAAGAUGAUCAGAAGAUUUCUGCUAAAAAUGUAAGUGAGUGAACACAGGUGCCAUCGAAAUUUUUACUGUCAGUCUUAGGAUUUUUCAUUUACCAAAAAAGCUGCCCUCAUCAAAGGCUUCGAUUUCAUCAGAGGUAGUGAGUUAUUUUUUCUGAACUUGACUAGACACAGUCCCACUUAUUAGCACUGCUGUUCUUUGUCAUUUUCAACUUUACAGGAAGUAGAAAUAAGGCGAAAUCUACACUCUCCAUAGAGUAUCCAAACAACCCUUCUCCUGAAUUCUUCAUUACUAGCCUCAAACACAAAACAAAAUCAAAGCGUGAAGUUUCUGUCCUCAUCAACAAGCCCUGGUCAGAAAGUUUCUACCUCGGAGGAGACACAGGAUGACAGCUGGGUGGACAAGAGAGGAAACAAAAAAAUUCAAUGAGCCUCUCGCAUUUCAGCAAAAGCUUUCACCCAAAAUGAAUAUGACACAUUAAAUGAGCAUCAGGCUCUAAGACCUUCUCUGGGAGCCUUGUUGGUAGCUGUGUUUUCUAAGUUAGUAAGUGCCUGCUGUUAAUGUGAAAAUUGGUUUCAACUUAAUCUAGCAGCCCAGAAAACACAUUAUUUUUUUGUAGCUAUUACCAUUCAUAUUUAGCACUUUCCCGUACUGUCAGUGACUUGGAGAGUUAAUAGUAAUUAUAGCUCUUGACCAUUUAUAAAGUUUUUGCAAUAGGUGAUGGGUUCCACACUGGAAACUUUUCAAAGGUUAUUUUUAUGGAAACACUGCAAGGCAGGCACUAUCCUGCUAUUCUAUGGACAACAAAGUGGGGGUGGGGGUGGGGGCUGCUUGCAAAGGUGGGAUUUGAAUGCAAGCACAUGCACUCAGAAGCCACAGGGUGGAAACUGCCCUUCUCUGAACAACAGCCACUCACUCAAAGUACCAAAGAGAAACAUGUGGACAUAUAGGGACUUGUGAAUUUUCAAUCAAUUAAUUUGUUCAGGGAGGCCGAGUCCCUUAUUUCUGAGGGGGGGUUUAGGAUGAUGCUAAGGAAAAGACAGGGAGAAAAAGGAGUUUGAAAAUUUUUUAAUUUAAAAGGUAUACAAAUAAUAAAUGCUGGAGAGGGUGUGGAGAAAAAGGAACCCUCCCACACUGUUGGUGGGAAUGUAAAUUGGUGCAACAACUAUGGGGAACAGUAUGAAAAUUCCUUAAAAAACUAAAAAAACUAAAAAUAGAGUUACCAUACGAUCCUGCAAUCCCACUCCCGGGCACAUAUCCAGAGAAAACGCUAAUUUGAAAAGAUACACACGCCUGAUGUUCACUGCAGCAUUAUUUACAACAAUGAAGAUAUGGAAGAAAUCUAAAUGUCCAUCGACAGAGGAAUGGAUAAAGAAGAUGUGGUAUAUUUAUACAAAGGGAUUUUACUCAGUGAUAAAGAAAGAAUGAAAUGAUGCCAUUUGCAGCAACACGGGUGGACCUAGAGAUUAUCGUAUUAAGUGAAGUACGUCAGACAAAGAGAAAUAUCCUAUGAUAUCACUGAUACACGAAAUCUAAAAAAUGAUGCACAUGAGCUUAUUUGCAGUAGAAAUAGACUCACAGACAUAGAAAAUACAUUUAUGGUUACCGAGAUGGGGUAGUGGGGAGUUGGGGAGAGCAAGUCGGGAGUUUGGGGAUUAACAUAUACACACUACUAUACAUAAAAUAGAUAAACAACAAAGACCUACUGUAUCACACCGGGAACUAUACUCAGUAUCUUGUAAUAGCCUAUAAUGGAAAGGAAUCUGAAAAGAAUAUAUAUAUGUGUGUGUGUGUAUAACUGAAUCACUUUGCUGUGAACUUGAAAUGCAUAUUGUAAAUGAACUAUAAUUCAAUUAAAAAAACUAAAGAAAAAAAUGUUUGUUUUUCCUUUCUUUUUUUCUUUUUUUUUUUUUACAAAUUUUCCAAGGCAGAGAGAUUGCUACAUGGUAGUAAAACCACAUUUGUAUUUCUGUUAACAGCCUAAGAACCUUCCCCUCUAGGAGAAAGCCCCAGGCCCACACUAACUUGACUGUUUCUUUAAAUGUUAUGCAGCUCCUACUAUAUUACAAUGCGGAACAGAUGGAAGAACAUAAAGCAGAUGCAGAUCUGCAGUCUAAAUAGAGAUGAACAAUUCUUCAGUUAACAA